GCCUAACACAUGCAAGUCGAGCGGCAGCACAAGUAAGUUUACUUAUGAGGUGGCGAGCGGCGGACGGGUGAGUAAUGCCUAGGGAUCUGCCCAGUCGAGGGGGAUAACAGUUGGAAACGACUGCUAAUACCGCAUACGCCCUACGGGGGAAAGAGGGGGGCCUUCGGGCCUCUCGCGAUUGGAUAGAACCUAGGUGGGAUUAGCUAGUUGGUGAGGUAAUGGCUCACCAAGGCGACGAUCCCUAGCUGUUCUGAGAGGAUGAUCAGCCACACUGGGACUGAGACACGGACCCAGACUACCUACGGGAGGCAGCA
rnacentral:rRNA from 1 species